rnacentral:rRNA from 1 species
AAUGGGGGCAACCCUGACGGAGCGAUGCCGCGUGGAUGACGAAGGUCGAGAGAUUGUAAAGUCCUUUUCUGGAUGAGGAAUAAGCAUCGGAGGAAAUGCCGGUGUGAUGACGUUAGUUCAGGAAUAAGCCCCGGCCAAUUACGUGCCAGCAGCCGCGGUAACACGUAAGGGGCGAGCGUUGUUCGGAAUUAUUGGGCGUAAAGGGCGUGCAGGCGGUUUGACAAGUCUGUUGUGAAAGACCGGGGCUUAACUCCGGGAGCGCGAUGGAAACUGUUUGACUAGAGUACUGGAGGGGGAGCUGGAAUUCCUAGUGUAGGGGUGAAAUCUGUUGAUAUUAGGAAGAACACCGGUGGCGAAGGCGAGCUCCUGGCUGAGUACUGACGCUGAGGCGCGAAAGCGUAGGUAGCAAA